UACAGAGGGUGCAAGCGUUAAUCGGAAUUACUGGGCGUAAAGCGAGCGUAGUCGGUUAUUUAAGUCGGGUGUGAAAGCCCCGGGCUCAACCUGGGAAUUGCAUUCGAUACUGGAUAGCUAGAGUUCGGCAGAGGGAAGCGGAAUUUCCGGUGUAGCGGUGAAAUGCGUAGAUAUCGGAAGGAACAUCAGUGGCGAAAGCGGCUUCCUGGACCAGAACUGACGAUCAGGCUCGAAAGCGUGGGGAGCAAACGGG
rnacentral:rRNA from 1 species